AGCGAACGCUGGGGGCAGGCUUAACACAUGCAAGUCGAGCGGGCGUAGCAAUACGUCAGCGGCAGACGGGUGAGUAACACGUGGGAACGUACCUUUUGGUUCGGAACAACUGAGGGAAACUUCAGCUAAUACCGGAUAAGCCCUUACGGGGAAAGAUUUAUCGCCGAAAGAUCGGCCCGCGUCUGAUUAGCUAGUUGGUGAGGUAACGGCUCACCAAGGCGACGAUCAGUAGCUGGUCUGAGAGGAUGAUCAGCCACACUGGGACUGAGACACGGCCCAGACUCCUACGGGAGGCAGCAGUGGGGAAUAUUGGACAAUGGGCGCAAGCCUGAUCCAGCCAUGCCGCGUGAGUGAUGAAGGCCCUAGGGUUGUAAAGCUCCUUUGUGCGGGAAGAUAAUGACGGUACCGCAAGAAUAAGCCCCGGCUAACUUCGUGCCAGCAGCCGCGGUAA
rnacentral:rRNA from 1 species